rnacentral:rRNA from 1 species
UGGGGAAUAUUGCACAAUGGGCGCAAGCCUGAUGCAGCCAUGCCGCGUGUGUGAAGAAGGCCUUCGGGUUGUAAAGCACUUUCAGCGAGGAGGAAGGUGGUGAGCUUAAUACGCUCAUCAAUUGACGUUACUCGCAGAAGAAGCACCGGCUAACUCCGUGCCAGCAGCCGCGGUAAUACGGAGGGUGCAAGCGUUAAUCGGAAUUACUGGGCGUAAAGCGCACGCAGGCGGUUUGUUAAGUCAGAUGUGAAAUCCCCGGGCUCAACCUGGGAACUGCAUUUGAAACUGGCAAGCUAGAGUCUCGUAGAGGGGGGUAGAAUUCCAGGUGUAGCGGUGAAAUGCGUAGAGAUCUGGAGGAGUACCGGUGGCGAAGGCGGCCCCCUGGACGAAGACUGACGCUCAGGUGCGAAAGCGUGGGGCAGCAAACAGGAUUAGAUACCCUGGUAGUCCACGCUGUAAACGAUGUCGAUUUUGGAGUUGUGCCCUUGAGGCGUGGCUUCCGGAGCUAACGCGUUAAAUCGACCGCCUGGGGAGUACGGCCGCAAGGUU